UACGUAGGGGGCAAGCGUUAUCCGGAUUCACUGGGUGUAAAGGGAGCGUAGACGGCGACGCAAGUCUGGAGUGGAAGCCCGGGGCCCAACCCCGGGACUGCUCUGGAAACUGCGGCGCUGGAGUACGGGAGGGGCAGGCGGAAUUCCUGGUGUAGCGGUGAAAUGCGUAGAUAUCAGGAGGAACACCGGCGGCGAAGGCGGCCUGCUGGACCGUGACUGACGUUGAGGCUCGAGAGCGUGGGGAGCAAACAGG
rnacentral:rRNA from 1 species